GGUUUUGUGCCUCUGCUCACCUGAAAGAGAGGGUCCAGGUCUGAAGACACCUGAAAGAGAGGGUCCAGGUCUGAUAAUCUGCUCUGAAGAUAAAAAGCAGAAACCCAUUCAGACCAUCAGAGAGUUUUCUGAUGAUGUUGGAAUAUUUACACUUUCCUGUUUUCUACUUUUUCUAGUUUUCUGACAAUUAGGACCUUCUAUUUUAAAUGUACUGUUCUUACUGCUUAUUUAAAUAAAGUUGUACAUGUAGGGAUUAAAGAAGAGUCUCUU